UACGUAGGGAGCAAGCGUUGUUCGGAUUUACUGGGCGUAAAGGGCGCGUAGGCGGCGCGACAAGUCACUUGUGAAAUCUCCGGGCUUAACUCGGAACGGCCAAGUGAAACUGUCAUGCUAGAGUGCAGAAAGGGCAAUCGGAAUUCUUGGUGUAGCGGUGAAAUGCGUAGAUAUCAAGAGGAACACCUGAGGCGAAGGCGGGUUGCUAGGCUGACACUGACGCUGAGGCGCGAAAGCCAGGGGAGCAAACGGG
rnacentral:rRNA from 1 species